rnacentral:lncRNA from 1 species
CUCUGCGUGCGCCGGAGGCUGCCAUGGCGGGUGGGCAGCUUGACUUCUCCUCCCGGCCAGUUGUCGAGCGCCUCACCAGGCCUCGCCCUGCAGCCUCGCUCUCCCUGGCGCUGCGCGGCCUAGGGGACUGGGCUGCUGGCCUCCGGGUGCGGGGUGGGGGCAGGCUCUGACCUGGGGCGUUCUGGCCGCGCGAGCCGCGGGAUGGGGCCCCCGGCCCCGGAGGAGGCGCCGCUGCUGUGUCCCUUGGUGGAGAGGGCGCUGCCAGCCCUGCGCGGUUUCCAGCCAGGAAGCUUCGGGAAGCCUGGACGUCUGCUCACUGGAGAUGACACGUGCGUGGGGUGUUGGGAAGGAGGUGACUUCGCCUGUGAUGGACUCCCAGUGUGAGCUGUGAUGGACUUCCAGUGUGAGCACUGGCCAGAGUGACCAGGCCGACCAUCAACAGCCCUGAUCCAGAUGCAGAGGCCAGGAUGUGGGCCCAGCCCUGUGCCAGAAGGCUGGCUGGAAUAAAGGUACAGAUAGAGGCCUCACCCCCUCUGGGACCACUGGCACUCAGGGUGUUUGCAGCCUCAGAGCCCACCUACCCCCAGGGCCACAGCUGCAGCUCCUGCCCUGCUGUCAUUACAGGGAUGGGCAGGCUGGCAUGGGGGCACCCGCUGCCCCUGCCUGGGUGUUGCUGUGUAUUCCCGCCGGCCAGGGGCCACUGCCAGGACCACCCCUCCCUUUUCAUAUCCCGAUUCUUAAGUUCUGCUAUUGUGGUAUUGUGGUCGAAAAAAAAGAACCGCUUGGCUGUUUUUGAACUGCCUGGAACCUAAGAUCCUGAAUUUUUUUUCCCCCCCAAGGGGGAAAGUCUAUAUGGAAAACAUUUAUUUUAAAAUACAGGAUGAAGUGAAUUAAAAGAUUUAAAUGCAAAAAAAAAAAAAAA